GGGAUGAAACGCUGGCGGCGUGCUUAACACAUGCAAAGUCGAAACGAUGAAGCCCAGCUUGCUGGGUGGGAUUAGUGGCGAACGGGUGAGUAACACGUGAGUAACCUGCCCUUUAACUCUGGGAUAAGCCUGGGAAACUGGGUCUAAUACCGGAUAGGAGCGCCGACCGCAUGGUGGGUGUUGGAAAGAUUUAUCGGUUUUGGAUGGACUCGCGGCCUAUCAGCUUGUUGGUGAGGUAAUGGCUCACCAAGGCGACGACGGGUAGCCGGCCUGAGAGGGUGACCGGCCACACUGGGACUGAGACACGGCCCAGACUCCUACGGGAGGCAGCAGUGGGGAAUAUUGCACAAUGGGCGCAAGCCUGAUGCAGCGACGCCGCGUGAGGGAUGACGGCCUUCGGGUUGUAAACCUCUUUCAGUAGGGAAGAAGCGAAAGUGACGGUACCUGCAGAAGAAGCACCGGCUAACUACGUGCCAGCAGCCGCGGUAAUACGUAGGGUGCGAGCGUUAUCCGGAAUUAUUGGGCGUAAAGAGCUCGUAGGCGGUUUGUCGCGUCUGUCGUGAAAGUCCGGGGCUUAACCCCGGAUCUGCGGUGGGUACGGGCAGACUAGAGUGCAGUAGGGGAGACUGGAAUUCCUGGUGUAGCGGUGGAAUGCGCAGAUAUCAGGAGGAACACCGAUGGCGAAGGCAGGUCUCUGGGCUGUAACUGACGCUGAGGAGCGAAAGCAUGGGGAGCGAACAGGAUUAGAUACCCUGGUAGUCCAUGCCGUAAACGUUGGGCACUAGGUGUGGGGACCAUUCCACGGUUUCCGCGCCGCAGCUAACGCAUUAAGUGCCCCGCCUGGGGAGUACGGCCGCAAGGCUAAAACUCAAAGGAAUUGACGGGGGCCCGCACAAGCGGCGGAGCAUGCGGAUUAAUUCGAUGCAACGCGAAGAACCUUACCAAGGCUUGACAUGUUCUCGAUCGCCGUAGAGAUACGGUUUCCCCUUUGGGGCGGGUUCACAGGUGGUGCAUGGUUGUCGUCCAG
rnacentral:rRNA from 1 species